GUGGGGAAUAUUGGACAAUGGGCGAAAGCCUGAUCCAGCCAUGCCGCGUGAGUGAUGAAGGCCUUAGGGUUGUAAAGCUCUUUCAGUAGGGAAGAUAAUGACGGUACCUACAGAAGAAGCCCCGGCUAACUUCGUGCCAGCAGCCGCGGUAAUACGAAGGGGGCUAGCGUUGUUCGGAUUUACUGGGCGUAAAGCGCACGUAGGCGGAUUGGUCAGUUAGAGGUGAACUCCUGGAGCUCAACUCCAGAACUGCCUUUAAUACUGCCAGUCUAGAGUCCAGAAGAGGUGAGUGGAACUCCUAGUGUAGAGGUGGAAUUCGUAGAUAUUAGGAAGAACACCAGUGGCGAAGGCGGCUCACUGGUCUGGUACUGACGCUGAGGUGCGAAAGCGUGGGGAGCAAACAGGAUUAGAUACCCGUGUAGUCC
rnacentral:rRNA from 1 species